UGUCUGACACUCGCCGGCUGCUGUUCUAAGUCAACUUUUAAGCAUAUUUACAUGUAAAUAAGUUUAUGACAGCAACUAAUAAUGAAUUGUAAAACUAUUUACGGAUAAGUGCUAUCGAUUUAACGUAAUAAUAGAACUUUAAUGAAGUUAUUUAUGAAGCAAUCAGCCUUCGAUGUUCGUACAAAGAACUUUCGUACCCAGUGUCAGGCAAGAUAAAAAAUUACUACAAGGAACAAUUUCAACAAAUGUCUGGAUACCACAAUAUGAUUGUAACACGUGAAUUGAAGUCAGACACCUUACCACCAUGCAACAGUAUCAUCUAUCUUCCGUGACCGCCGAACCUCUUUCAGUGACGUAGACGUUGUUGUGUGAAGUAACAGUAACACAGAAUGGCUAGAGACCAUUAACUUGAGAACUGAAGAGAUGUGCACAGGUCUUUGUUCUACUUGGUGAUUGGUGGAACCAUGGUGCAGUUUUGAAUUUAUAAGGUGUGAAGUUACAGAAAAGCAGAAUAGCUACAGACCAUGAAAUUUAGAAAAUGAAGAGAUGCAUGUCUUUGUUCAGCAUGGUGUAUAUGGGAAACAUUGUGGGUCACAGACCUCUGUUCAACAUGGUGUAUAUGGGAAACAUUGUGGGUCACAGACCUCUGUUCAACAUGGUGUAUAUGGGAAACAUUGUGGGUCACAGACAUGAAAUGAUUUAUGUGAAGUAACAGUAAAGCAGAAUGGCUACAGACAAUUAGUUCAGAAUUGAAGAAGAGAUGCAGGUCUUUGUUCUAUAUGGUGUAUGAGGGAACUAUGGUGGAAAUUUGGAUUUCAUGGCAGUCAUAGAAAUAUCUA